rnacentral:lncRNA from 10 species
GCACCUGAGCACUUGCUCUCUGAGGGCCAGCAGAACCCGAAGGACAGAUAGGGAAGGGCAAAGGAGUGGGACCGGUUUCUUCCCCCCAGACUCUCCAAUCAGAUAAGUCAUAGUGGCGGGGGUGGGGGGUGGUUAUGGGGGGUAGGCCUGGGCGUCAGCAUUUUUAAAGCCCCUCAGGUGAUUCAGUGCAGCCCGGGCAAGAACCCAGCUAUGCUCUGAGAAGUGAGUGGGCAGCAUCUAAUUGCUCUUCAUAAAAAUCCUGCUGUUUUCAGCCCCAGCCCACCCUGGUCUUCCCACAGACAAUGGCCACUCCCAUGCCUGAGCCAUCCCAGAUCCCCAGUUGGAGGAACCAUCCUUUACAGCUGACUGACUCACCAGUCCCUAAUGCUGGUCAGAUGUCCUGAACAAGGAAAGCCGUGAUUUCUGCGACCAGAGAGAAUCGGUCAGUCACGGUGUCCCUCAGCCAAAAUGAACUCAGCCUAUUGUCUCCGGAGAGCUGGUAAAUCGGCAGCUGAAGAAACAUACAGUUCUGUGUUUCAAAAUGCAAAAGACCACAUUUCCCUGACCUCGGGUGCUCGCUGACACAUUCCCAACCAAUGACUAUAAAUCUGCUCCUGGAUUGUGGCAUGUAAGAAUGUAAGAUGUGCCGGCUUCCCCUCCGCCCUCCGCCCUCCGCCAUGAUGAUAAGUUUCCCGAGGCCUCCCCAGCC